AUGGUACCGUGGUGGGCUACCGUGUUGGCGGACAUUAUCGACAAAUUCGUGAUCGCCCUAUUGUUUACUGGCGACAAAACGUCGCGGGAGCAGCAACUCUCUGCAUUCUGGUUGCCGUUCCUCCUAAUUCACAUCAGUCGGCCGGACAACAUCAGCGGUUUUUCCAUUGAGGAGAACGUGUUUUCGCAUGGCAAGGUGUUGAGUGCUUAUGCUGUGAUCUUGGGAGCCACUAAUGUCCUGUACGUCAAUGUAACUCUCUCCCGUCCCAAUGUCGGGACCUUGGUGCUGGCGUCCUUCCUCGUGUUCGCAUUGGCUAUUUUCAAGUACCUGGAGAGGGCAGUUGCACAAGGGAGAGGCAACUUGAGCAGCAUCAAGAGCUUAAUCAAGAAUAACCAGCCAAAGAGAUUCAGUUUCCAUCACUGGUGUCCAUAUGGGCCCCUGGAUAAUGAUCAAGCCCUGCUUGUUGCUCACAGCAUGCUUCAUAUCACCAAAUGUGCGUUUUGUGACUGCUCAUUGGAUAUGGAUCCUCUCGAUCGUGAAACCGGCAGAAAGAUAAUAUCUUGUGGAUGGGAGAGUAUGUGCAAGGUGGUGGAGAUGGAGCUCUCCCUCAUGUACGACCUCAUAUACACCAAGGCAGUCGUCAUCCACGCCUGGACUGGCUACAUCACCCGCAUCGUCUCCCCGCUAAUCAUCUGCACCGUGCUAUUUCUGUUAAAUGCUUAUAACAGUGAAUUCCAAUCAGUAGAAGAUAUUGUUAUCACUUACUUGUUGGUGGUCUUCACCUUACUACUGGAUGUAAGAUGGCUGCUGGGAGCACUAGGGUCGACCUGGGCAUAUACAGUCUUCAAAGACUCGAGAUGGCAGUGGCUAAAGCAUGCAGUUGUCUGUGAUGGAAAAUGGCACUGGAUCCGUACCAUUGUAGUGUUUAUGGAUUUGUCCCGACUGCCCUUGUUUUCUGGUUACUACCGUGAGCCACUGAGCACCUUGUUCAACAUGAAACCGCCAAGUAACUACAGGUUGUGGCGAGGAAUCAUGGGCCAGUACAACUUGUUGCAUGAGUGCACUCGUCACAAGGACUAUCCAAUAAGUGUAAGUAGUGUGAUGGGCCUGUUGCUCCUCCAACAAGAGGAGAGCAUGAUGCAGCACGAAUACCAUGACAUCCAUGGCUUUAAGAUUCCACAAGAUUUGAAGGGUCUGUUGUUUGAACGCAUACGGGAAAAGUUGAAAUUAUCAUACACACGGCCCCGCAAUGUUGAGGAGGAGGAAGAAGAGGGAGAAGAAGUUGUGCAGUUCGAUUCUGAUGAGUUGCAAGAGGUCAUUCUUAUCUGGCACAUGGCCACGGACAUUUUCCUUCAAAAGGCCACCUUUGCAGAUGAAGAAUCUCAAAAAUAUGUGAAGUUGAUCAGCAAGCUGUCUGAUUACCUGGUGUUCCUCGUGGUUUUACACCCCAGCAUGCUACCGGUCCGUAAGCUGCCAAGCAAGUACAAAGAAACCAGCAAAGAGUUGAAGGAAUUGUUGAGUGUUGAAAACAGGCCUGCUAGUUGCAAAACAAGAAAGCAGAAGCUUGCCUUUAUCCUGGAACAAAUGGAGAAGCUAGUUUUGAACGGCAAUGGAGAUGGCAGAAAUAGUACUAGUAGCAUUGUCCUGUCGGAUGGUUAUCAAUAUGCCCGUGUGCUAUGA
rnacentral:rRNA from 1 species